rnacentral:rRNA from 1 species
UCGAGAAUCUUCCGCAAUGGACGAAAGUCUGACGGAGCGACGCCGCGUGAUGGAUGAAGUCCCUAGGGACGUAAACAUCUUUUAUGAGGGAGAAAGUUUAUUGAUAGUACCUCACGAAUAAGGGGUUGCUAAACUCGUGCCAGCAGCAGCGGUAAUACGAGUGCCCCGAGCGUUAUCCGGAAUCAUUGGGCGUAAAGGGUGUGUAGGUGGCAGUGUUAGUCAAUUGCUAAAUACUGGGGCUCAACCCCAGGAGUGCGAUUGAUACGGCACAGCUAGAGGAUGGCAGGGAUGUAUGGAACUCAUGGAGUAGGGGUGAAAUCCGUUGAUAUCAUGGGGAACACCGAAAGCGAAGGCAGUACAUUGGGCCACUCCUGACACUGAAACACGAAAGCGUGGGUAGCGAAUGGGAUUAGAUACCCGCGUAGUCC